CGUGCUUAACACAUGCAAGUCGAACGGGAAUUAUUUUAUUGAAACUUCGGUCGAUUUAAUUUAAUUCUAGUGGCGGACGGGUGAGUAACGCGUGGGUAACCUGCCUUAUACAGGGGAAUAACAGUCAGAAAUGGCUGCUAAUACCGCAUAAGCGCACAGAGCUGCAUGGCUCAGUGUGAAAAACUCCGGUGGUAUAAGAUGGACCCGCGUUGGAUUAGCUUGUUGGUGGGGUAACGGCCCGCCAAGGCGACGAUCCAUAGCCGGCCUGAGAGGGUGAACGGCCACAUUGGGACUGAGACACAGCCCAAGACUCCUACGGGAGGCAGCAAGUGGGGAAUAUUGCACAAUGGGGGAAACCCUGAUGCAGCGACGCCGCGUGAAGGAAGAAGUAUCUCGGUAUGUAAACUUCUAUCAGCAGGGAAGAUAGUGACGGUACCUGACUAAGAAGCCCCGGCUAACUACGUGCCAGCGGCCGCGGUAAUACGUAGGGGGCAAGCGUUAUCCGGAUUUACUGGGUGUAAAGGGAGCGUAGACGGUGUGGCAAGUCUGAUGUGAAAGGCAUGGGCUCAACCUGUGGACUGCAUUGGAAACUGUCAUACUUGAGUGCCGGAGGGGUAAGCGGAAUUCCUAGUGUAGCGGUGAAAUGCGUAGAUAUUAGGAGGAACACCAGUGGCGAAGGCGGCUUACUGGA
rnacentral:rRNA from 1 species